rnacentral:rRNA from 1 species
CCUACGGGAGGCAGCAGUGGGGAAUAUUGCACAAUGGGGGAAACCCUGAUGCAGCGACGCCGCGUGAGUGAAGAAGUAUUUCGGUACGUAAAGCUCUAUCAGCAGGGAAGAAAUAAAGUCCUUCGGACUUUGGACGGUACCUGACUAAGAAGCCCCGGCUAACUACGUGCCAGCAGCCGCGGUAAUACGUAGGGGGCAAGCGUUAUCCGGAUUUACUGGGUGUAAAGGGAGCGUAGACGGCAGCGCAAGUCUGGAGUGAAAUCCCAUGGCUUAACCAUGGAACUGCUUUGGAAACUGUGCAGCUGGAGUGCAGGAGAGGUAAGCGGAAUUCCUAGUGUAGCGGUGAAAUGCGUAGAUAUUAGGAGGAACACCAGUGGCGAAGGCGGCUGUCUGGUCUGCAACUGACGCUGAGGCUCGAAAGCAUGGGUAGCGAACAGGAUUAGAUACCCCUGUAGUC